UACGUAGGGUGCAAGCGUUAAUCGGAAUUACUGGGCGUAAAGCGUGCGCAGGCGGUUUUGUAAGUUUGUCGUGAAAGCCCCGGGCUCAACCUGGGAAUGGCGAUGAAGACUGCAAGGCUUGAAUCUGGCAGAGGGGGAUGGAAUUCCGCGUGUAGCAGUGAAAUGCGUAGAUAUGCGGAGGAACACCGAUGGCGAAGGCAAUCCCCUGGGCCUGCACUGACGCUCAUGCACGAAAGCGUGGGGAGCAAACAGG
rnacentral:rRNA from 1 species